rnacentral:lncRNA from 1 species
GCACCGAGAUGUCCUUCAGCCGAUGGAAGUCCUCCCGAUCACCAGCCUCCACCCGACUGUUCUCGUUGGGAUCGGUUCGGGGAUUCCCCCAACGGGCGGGAAACCCCCAGGGAGCAGAAGACGACGUGAAGAAGAACUGGUUCUUCCAUCCGUGAAUGGACGUCGGAAGACCAGUGAUGAAGGAAAGCCCUUUCCGAGGGAUAAAGUACCACCACCCUCGGGCUUUAGG